rnacentral:rRNA from 1 species
UACGUAGGGGGCAAGCGUUGUCCGGAUUUAUUGGGCGUAAAGAGCGUGUAGGCGGCCAGACAGGUCAGCUGUGAAAACUCGAGGCUCAACCUCGAGACGUCGGUUGAAACCGUCUGGCUAGAGUCCGGAAGAGGAGAGUGGAAUUCCUGGUGUAGCGGUGAAAUGCGCAGAUAUCAGGAGGAACACCGGUGGCGAAGGCGGGU